UGGUGAGCGUCGCCGCCGAUACCAUAAAGCGUGCUAUAACCACUAAAAAAAAUAAAAAUAAAAAUACAGCGUGCUAUAAGCACCUCCGACGCACGCGCCGUCGCCUCGCCUCCUUCCAGAUCCGCGGCGAGCCGGGAACGAGGAAAACAAAAGGAUGGAAUUGAAAUUUGAUGCACUGUGGAAAAGGGACUUACUUGCCCUGAGCAAAUACAACGUUAAUGGUAAAGUUAAAGCAAUUACAGUAAGAAAUGAUUAUCCGGACUACCCUGUCCCUUAUUUUCAAGUUACUGAGGGUUUUGAUUUGAAAAAGGUUAAGAAGCUUAUGCUAGAAAGGGAUGUUGAGAUCGCCAAGUCCAUAGCAAACGACAUAAUCAUCCCAGACCCUGCUCCCCAAUGGGUGGCUGAUAACUUCUUGGACAAAUAUGCCGAAUUGGAGCCCAUCCUUGUAAAGGAUAGUGCCUGGUGCUUCCUCCGACUCUUCCAAAACUGUAGAGGCCGGGGCAUGUCAUCGGAUCUUACCAUCACCGCACAAACCUUAACCUUCAUGGUCAGUUUCAAUGCCCUGCGAUGUGCAAAAGUUGUAUUGGAGGGCAUGGCACCUGAGCUCUAUGGGAUGCACGCCAAUCCCAACUGCAUAAACAAAUUUGGAUACUUUGCGCUCCACGAAGCUGCUGAAAGGUUCUCUGUGGACAUGAUCAAGCUGCUUUUACGCCAUGGUGCAUCGCCCAAUGUGCGCACAGUUCGCAAUGAUGUCAUUUUUGAUGUCAUUGAGAAUCUACUCCCGCUCCAUGUCGCAGUUGAGAAUACUUGCCUCCAUAAGUAUCUGGAGGACAAUCUGGAGGACAAUCUUUCUCACAACCAGAGUCAUCUGGAUUAUAUCUACAAGCUUAUUCAUCUGCUGUGUCUACCUGAGAUGAAGGUCUUCUUGGACACAACUAGACUGCUUGCAGAAAAAACAAAUAAUGUACUUCAAGAGCUCUGGAAUUACAUUGAGGAUGGAAAAAUUAUCCAGUCUGCUGUUCUACUACUGGCUGCUCAAGAGCAGAUCCGUGGGGGCAGUUCUUCCAAGAUAAAUGGCAGUAGUAAGAAAAAUGGGUUUGACAUUAUCAAUAAAUGUAUAAUGAGGCGUUCAUUUGCCUUGAGAUGGGAGAAAGGUUCACAUGCAACGGCACCGGAGCUUCUGGAGGAAAGGAAGACACUUACUGAUUGCGCAUGGCUGCUUGUUGAUGUAAUUUCCCAUGCCGGUGAAGAUCUUUCUGCAUACAUUCAAACGCAUUCUGAGGUGCCCCAUGUGGAGGUCUUUCAACAUGUUUCACGUAUCCUCAAGGAGUAUGGAUUUUGCCCUAAUGGAGAUCCCAUGGACACUAUAAACCUCCAGCCUUAUGACUGCAGAAAGUCAAACGGAGAGUCAUGCAAAGGGCUUACAGAUGCAAACAUGGCAGUUAUGGAAUCGGCCAAUCUGGAUGCUGCAGAGAAAAAGGUCACAACUGUUGAAAAUGACGGUCUCUCCCUUAUGGCACGGCAACACACCAAACAAAUAAAGGCUGUGAGAAAGAAAGUAGGCCGAGGAUGGGAUCCCACAUACACAAGGAGAAGUUUUUUUCCACAUUGGAGGUCAGUGUUACAAGCCCGGCUUCCUUUGAAGGUGUAUCCAGCCUAUGCAAGCUCAGAUCCUAGUCCAAAUCAUAAACUUGGUCCAAUGCCAAGGACCUCGCCAUUUACAAGCAACAAUCAACCCAGAAGGAGCUUUGUCACUGCUGCUAUUGGUGCAUUCAGGCUCUUGAAGGUGCUAAAGUAGAGUAGAAAGCCUAUUGGACUGGAGAUUAAGUUUUUCUCAUGUGGCUCGCGGCCCAGAAAAGCUUAGCAACAAUUGUUAGAUGCUCAAAUAGGCCCAGCAAAUUGAUUAAAAAAAGGCAUGCAAGCAGCCUUUUGUACUGUUCAGAAAGGCAGGACAAGAUUGCUCAACAUAGAUACAAGGACAUGGAAGCUUCGGAAGGCAGAUUUUUCAAACUAGAGCAUUGUUGGGAGUUGCUCCAAAAGUGCGAGAAGUGGAAGUUGAUCGAUAAAGAAUCCCCACCAAAGAGAGGCUCACUUACAAACAUGGAUGAAGAUGAGGAUGAUGAUGGCCCAAGAAAUUUGCACAAGCCCGAUGGCGACAAAAAGACUAAGGAGAAGAUCAAGAGAGAGUAAGAAGCAUCGAGCUUGAGGGAGAAGAUUGACGCCAUGGUGCAAUCCAACGAGUCGAUGUUGUUGAAGUCGUUGGAGAUCAAGAAAGAAUUGGCCGAGAAGAAGGCGAAGGAGAAGCAAGAAGAGUGGCAAUUGCUUAAGGAAGAGGGGCUGCGCAAAGCUGCCAUCGAGGAGAGAAGAGCACGCGCCGCUGAAAACAAAUUCAUGUCCAUGUUGCUCGCCGAAGAGAACAAGAUCAUGUCAAUGAACCGCAAUGACAUGGACGACCUCACCAAAACAUGGCAUGAUAUGGCAAGGAAAGAAAUCUUGAAGAGGAGAAUGGUCGCGUCGGCCGGUCCGUGUUACAGUUCCGGUGAUGUUUUCUCUGCUCCAUAUGGUGGCAAUGUGGAUGAUUUCAGUGCGGGAAUUGGGACAAGCGCCGGAGGUGGAUUCGGUGGCGCCGAUGAACUUCAAGAUGGACUCGAUGGCGCGGAGUGAAGAUCGACCAAGAUGAUGCCGGACAUGGGCACAAACCUUUGCAGGGCCCUCUUUUGCGUUUGCCGUAAUGAACUUGGCUUUUAUUUGCGCGUAAAACUGUUUAUGUCGUUUGAAUUUGAACUUGUUUGUGAAACCCUAUGUCAAAUGCGAGAUUUGCUGUUUUUC